GGAGAGAUGGCCGAGUAGGUCGAAGGCGCUCGCCUGCUAAGCGAGUAGAUGGGCAUUAACCUGUCUCGAGGGUUCGAAUCCCUCUCUCUCCGCCA
rnacentral:tRNA from 3 species